UGAGUAAAGUUUUAGAAGAAAAAAAAAAGCAGUGUUUUUAUUUUUUGUUUAUCGGUGUCAUCUUUUCUCUUUCAUCAUCGAGAAAGAGUUUCAUCUUGAUUGAGGAAGAUACUCUUCAUACAUCCAUCUAGAUCAAUAUCUGAAUUUUUUGGCUUGAUUGAGGAAGAUUUUUGGCUUGUAUAGAUCAGUAUGAUGGCCAAAUCUGAAAUUUUUAGUGGCCUGUGUUCGUGUGGGUUUCGGUGAAUUUGAACAUGAUGAAUCGAGUAUUCGGGAAACCCAAGCAGGAGUCUAAUCUUAAUGAGGUUGUUUAAAGAACUCCGCCGCCAAAAAGGCUCAAGUCCGACGCUGGAGGCAGCCCAAUCUCCGCCAACGCCUCUGGUUCCAGCAAGCAGAUAGUCAUAUACGAAGAUUCUCCUCUUCCUGCUCCUGCUCUGCUACAAACUUUGAGUGAUCAUUCCGAUCAACACCUUUGCACCUAUCAAUGUCGUAUACUCUCUUCUGGAGUUAUACUCUACAACAAGUGAAGGAGCUCGAAAUGACAACAGUUCG